CCUGACGCAGCCAUGCCGCGUGAAUGAUGAAGGUCUUAGGAUUGUAAAAUUCUUUCACCGGGGACGAUAAUGACGGUACCCGGAGAAGAAGCUCCGGCUAACUCGUGCCAGCAGCCGCGGUAAUACGAAGGGGGCUAGCGUUGCUCGGAAUUACUGGGCGUAAAGGGCGCGUAGGCGGACAGUUUAGUCAGAGGUGAAAGCCCAGGGCUCAACCCUGGAAUUGCCUUUGAUACUGGCUGUCUUGAGUACGGGAGAGGUGUGUGGAACUCCGAGUGUAGAGGUGAAAUUCGUAGAUAUUCGGAAGAACACCAGUGGCGAAGGCGACACACUGGCCCGUUACUGACGCUGAGGCGCGAAAGCGUGGGGAGCAAACAGGACUAGAUACCCUGGUAGUCCACGCCGUAAACGAUGAGUGCUAGUUGUCGGCAUGCAUGCAUGUCGGUGACGCAGCUAACGCAUUAAGCACUCCGCCUGGGGAGUACGGUCGCAAGAUUA
rnacentral:rRNA from 1 species